AGGAACGCGUAGGUAAUCUACCCUUUGGCGGGGGACAACAUUCCGAAAGGAAUGCUAAUACCGCGUAAGACCACACUCACUACGGUGAGAGCGGUUAAAGGUGCCUCAAAGCACCACCAGAGGAUGAGCCUGCGUCCCAUCAGCUUGUUGGUAAGGUAAUGGCUUACCAAGGCGAAGACGGGUAGCUGGUCUGAGAGGAUGAUCAGCCACACUGGCACUGGAACACGGGCCAG
rnacentral:rRNA from 1 species